GUGGGGAAUUUUGGACAAUGGGCGCAAGCCUGAUCCAGCCAUGCCGCGUGUCUGAAGAAGGCCUUCGGGUUGUAAAGGACUUUUGUCAGGGAAGAAAAGGGCGGGGUUAAUACCCCUGUCUGAUGACGGUACCUGAAGAAUAAGCACCGGCUAACUACGUGCCAGCAGCCGCGGUAAUACGUAGGGUGCGAGCGUUAAUCGGAAUUACUGGGCGUAAAGCGGGCGCAGACGGUUACUUAAGCAGGAUGUGAAAUCCCCGGGCUCAACCUGGGAACUGCGUUCUGAACUGGGUGACUAGAGUGUGUCAGAGGGAGGUAGAAUUCCACGUGUAGCAGUGAAAUGCGUAGAGAUGUGGAGGAAUACCGAUGGCGAAGGCAGCCUCCUGGGAUAACACUGACGUUCAUGCCCGAAAGCGUGGGUAGCAAACAGG
rnacentral:rRNA from 1 species